UUUCCCUUUCCCUGAAAUGCGGAGGGGCCGCACUUUGUUCCUGGAAAUGCGCAGCCCCAGUGUUACUGCUUACACCGGAGGAGGGGGACCCUGUUCUGUGCUCCUGCACAAAACGCAUGGGGUGUGGGUCCAGUGCAUGCGGGAUCACGGCUCCCUGCACAUGCCUAGAGGCGUCUCCCCUGUUGGUUGUUGGCACGAUGAAGGCCAGAACCUAUUUCAUGGGAGCCAAGAGGGCCGAGUGCGAGGGCAGGAGAGAGAGCCCUGCCUCUGAGCACGCACAGAGCGCUGCCCCCGGUCUCGGGUCCCCUCUCCCCUACUCCCAAUACAAUAGCUGCCCUUCGCGUGUCACGGUGGACACCGGGGAGCCGGAGGUGACGCGCUCCCCCCCGUGGGAACUCCCUGGCGUGGCGGGGGGAGAUGGCUUGGGACCCCGGCCCACCUCUCAGGGCUGUUGGCAGGAUAAACGAUGGGUGGAAGGAAAGGAGUGGAGACGAGCUAAGCGGUGGAUUGAACCCCACGGGAGGGCAAAACGGGUGUGUGUGUGUUUUCCCGGGGCCCAGAGCAGAUUGCACAGGAGAGAAGCGAUCGCGAUCUGUGGCCUCAUCCAUUGCGCGCGGCCCUCCCACUGGGUCCCGCUUGGUCCCGAUCAUCGCCUCAGGUGCCCAGCCCUCUGGCCUCGGAGAGAAGCGAAAGCCAAGCCCCACCACCGGCGGGGAGGCCACAGGCUGAAGCGCUUCCUGCUCCCGCGUCCUUCCCCAGGGUCAAGACCAGGUGCCCCGGAGCAUGGGCAGAGGUCUCCUCUCCCCAUGAAGCGCGCCGUCCGGUCGCGGGACCCCAAGAAGGAAGGUCCCCAAAGGCAGGCCACCACCGCCUUGGCCCCGAGGAACGCCAGAGGAGCCUCGGUGGGUGGAUGGAUGAGCCCCUUCCUGGACGUCGCUCUCGCUCCGAAACCAGCCAAGGAGCACAACACAAGCCCCAAACACGAGACCAAACCGACCUUCAGACCUCUUGCUGCCCCAACGCUGCUCCCUCUGAGAACUUCGGGUUGGGGGGGAAG
rnacentral:lncRNA from 1 species